rnacentral:rRNA from 1 species
AUACGUAGGGGGCGAGCGUUGUCCGGAAUGAUUGGGCGUAAAGGGCGCGUAGGCGGCCCGGUAAGUCUGGAGUGAAGGUCCUGUUUUUAAGGUGGGAAUUGCUUUGGAUACUGUCGGGCUUGAGUGCAGGAGAGGUAAGUGGAAUUCCCAGUGUAGCGGUGAAAUGCGUAGAGAUUGGGAGGAACACCAGUGGCGAAGGCGACUUACUGGGCCGUAACUGACGCUGAGGCGCGAAAGCGUGGGGAGCGAACAGGAUUAGAUACCCUGGUAGUCCACGCGGUAAGCGAUGAAUGCUAGGUGUAGGGGGUAUCGACCCCUUCUGUGCCGCAGUCAACACAAUAAGCAUUCCGCCUGGGGAGUACGGCCGCAAGGUUGAAACUCAAAUGAAUUGGCGGGG